UUUMGAAAGUUCAUAMUUUCAAAAUUUGUACCUUGAAAAYURAAUAAKUWAGWGAUUACAAAAGACAUCUAUCAAGUUGAACUUGAURAAAUAUAUGAGAGAAAACUCAUUAAAAAACACCAAUUAUUCUUUUAACACUGGUCGAAAGACCAAAAUUAGAAAAAUCUCAUUAAUAACU
rnacentral:misc_RNA from 1 species